rnacentral:rRNA from 1 species
GAUGAACGCUGGCGGCGUGCUUAACACAUGCAAGUCGAACGGGAAUUAUUUUAUUGAAACUUCGGUCGAUUUAAUUUAAUUCUAGUGGCGGACGGGUGAGUAACGCGUGGGUAACCUGCCUUAUACAGGGGGAUAACAGUCAGAAAUGGCUGCUAAUACCGCAUAAGCGCACAGAGCUGCAUGGCUCAGUGUGAAAGACUCCGGUGGUAUACGAUGGACGCGCGUUGGAUUAGCUGGUUGGUGGGGUAACGGCCCACCAAGGCGACGAUCCAUAGCCGGCCUGAGAGGGUGACCGGCCACAUUGGGACUGAGACACGGCCCAGACUCCUACGGGAAGCAGCAGUGGGGAAUAUUGCACAAUGGGGGAAACCCUGAUGCAGCGACGCCGCGUGAAGGAAGAAGUAUCUCGGUAUGUAAACUUCUAUCAGCAGGGAAGAUAGUGACGGUACCUGACGAAGAAGCCCCGGCUAACUACGUG